rnacentral:rRNA from 1 species
UAAGACGAACCUGACGAACGUUAUUCGGAAUCACUGGGCUUAAAGGGUGCGUAGGCUGUGCAGAAAGUUGGGUGUGAAAUCCCUCGGCUUAACCGAGGAACUGCGCCCAAAACUACUGUGCUUGAGUGAGAUAGAGGUGAGCGGAACUUAGGGUGGAGCGGUGAAAUGCGUUGAUAUCCUAAGGAACACCGGUGGCGAAAGCGGCUCACUGGGUCUCAACUGACGCUGAUGCACGAAAGCUAGGGUAGCGAACGGGAUUAGAUACCCCGGUAGUCCUAGCCGUAAACGAUGAGCACUGGGUUGGAGGGUCCUCCAUAGCCCUCCAGCCGAAGCGAAAGUGUUAAGUGCUCCGCCUGGGGAGUAUGGUCGCAAGGCUG